rnacentral:rRNA from 1 species
AUCUACGACCAUACCGUCCUGCCUGUGCCCAAUCCCGUCCGAUCUCGGAAGCUAAGCAGGACCGGGCCUGGUUAGUACUUGGACGGGAGACCUCCUGGGAAUACCAGGUGCUGUAGGCU